UCGGGAAUCUUGGGCAAUGGGCGAAAGCCUGACCCAGCAACGCCGCGUGAGGGAUGAAGUCCUUCGGGAUGUAAACCUCGUAAGCAUGGGAAGAACAAAUGACGGUACCAUGCGUAAGCCCCGGCUAACUACGUGCCAGCAGCCGCGGUAAUACGUAGGGGGCUAGCGUUGUUCGGAUUUACUGGGCGUAAAGCGCGUGUAGGCGGUACAUUAAGUCAGCUGUUAAAUUCCCGAGCUUAACUCGGGAAAGUCGGCUGAUACUGAUGUGCUAGAGU
rnacentral:rRNA from 1 species